AGCGAACGCUGGCGGCAGGCUUAACACAUGCAAGUCGAGCGGGCACUUUCGGGUGUCAGCGGCGGACGGGUGAGUAACGCGUGGGAACGUGCCCUCUGGUUCGGAAUAACUCAGGGAAACUUGAGCUAAUACCGGAUACGCCCUUUUGGGGAAAGGCUUGCUGCCGGAGGAUCGGCCCGCGUCUGAUUAGCUAGUUUGUGAGGUAACGGCUCACCAAGGCGACGAUCAGUAGCUGGUCUGAGAGGAUGAUCAGCCACACUGGGACUGAGACACGGCCCAGACUCCUACGGGAGGCAGCAGUGGGGAAUAUUGGACAAUGGGCGCAAGCCUGAUCCAGCCAUGCCGCGUGAGUGAUGAAGGCCUUAGGGUUGUAAAGCUCUUUUAUCCGGGACGAUAAUGACGGUACCGGAGGAAUAAGCCCCGGCUAACUUCGUG
rnacentral:rRNA from 1 species